rnacentral:rRNA from 1 species
GGAGACACACGGCGGGUGCUAACGUCCGUCGUGAAGAGGGAAACAACCCAGACCGCCAGCUAAGGUCCCAAAGUCAUGGUUAAGUGGGAAACGAUGUGGGAAGGCCCAGACAGCCAGGAUGUUGGCUUAGAAGCAGCCAUCAUUUAAAGAAAGCGUAAUAGCUCACUGGUCGAGUCGGCCUGCGCGGAAGAUGUAACGGGGCUAAACCAUGCACCGAAGCUGCGGCAGCGACACUGUGUGUUGUUGGGUAGGGGAGCGUUCUGUAAGCCUGUGAAGGUGGCCUGUGAGGGUUGCUGGAGGUAUCAGAAGUGCGAAUGCUGACAUAAGUAACGAUAAAGCGGGUGAAAAGCCCGCUCGCCGGAAGACCAAGGGUUCCUGUCCAACGUUAAUCGGGGCAGGGUGAGUCGACCCCUAAGGCGAGGCCGAAAGGCGUAGUCGAUGGGAAACGGGUUAAUAUUCCCGUACUUGGUGUUACUGCGAAGGGGGGACGGAGAAGGCUAUGUUGGCCGGGCGACGGUUGUCCCGGUUUAAGCGUGUAGGUGUGUGUUCCAGGUAAAUCCGGUUCACUUUAACACUGAGGCGUGAUGACGAGGCACUACGGUGCUGAAGCAACAAAUGCCCUGCUUCCAGGAAAAGCCUCUAAGCAUCAGGUAACAUCAAAUCGUACCCCAAACCGACACAGGUGGUCAGGUAGAGAAUACCAAGGCGCUUGAGAGAACUCGGGUGAAGGAACUAGGCAAAAUGGUGCCGUAACUUCGGGAGAAGGCACGCUGACAC